AUGAGGAUUCUUUCUAAGAUCCCAGAGAGAUUCAGAAGGAUGAAGAUAAUUGUGGACUGGAGAAUCAGUUUCAACGAACUAGAUUCAGCUAGAAAUCGGCAUAGGUGCAGGGCUGCAUAUGUUCAGUUUUGGGUUGGACUAGUGAUGUGCAUUGAAUUAGCAGGGGAGCAUGGCUUGAAGAUAACAAGGUUCGGUCAUGGCAUGAAGGGAAUUAGAGAUUGGUUCAAGCAUGAAGUUUAA